GAGGGGCUGCUGGUCACAUGGUUUUCAUGGGCUCCUGGAGCUUGUGAUAAGCUCUGCAUCUAAUUUCACUGGGUGCUUUGGGCAAACCAGUAACUUCAUUUAACUUAGCUGUAAAAAGAGGAGUUUGAACUAGAUGAUGUUUGAGGCUCCUUCCAGCUCCGACAAUUUGUGAGUGAGUUUUGAAGAAGAAUAUUUAGAAAGUUGGUGUCACUCAACUUCCAGGAAGAAGGUGUUCCUUGUGUGAAUGAUGCAAGGUCAAGGUGUCUCUAACUGUAGAGGUGUUAAAGACACACCAGCACAUAAACCUCAGUUACCAGUACUUGAAGAGAAUCCCAGAUGUUUUAAAGAAAAAUGCCUGAUAUUUCAAGUAUGCUGCUUGUGGAGUUUUCAAGAGAUCUACAGUAAGCUAGUAUGAGGUGGGUUGUUUAAAAUGAAGAAGUGAAUUGACAAUGCAGCACAUUGUGCAGGUCCCCAAGUGACUGCACAUUCCCUUCAAGAUACUUUAAUUGGGAGAUUGGCCUGGUUUGACAUCUGCAUUUCAGGGGUUCUAUUUACUUAACAUUUUCUUAAAAUUGUUUAUAAUCUAGGUCACCUGAGGCAGACAAUACUUUUAGAGAGGUAAGAAGGGUAGGAUGCCAUAUUUAACGUGGAGGACCUCGGCUAGAUGUUACUAACUUAAACAGGAAUUGCACAGAUAUGCAGGUUUUGCAGAUUUCUAACCUAAAGCACUGGAAGGAUUGGAUAGAACCCCCUCUUGUUUUAAAUAUCUGUGUUUUUAAAAAAUAAAUUUUAAGUCAUCCCUGAGCUGAUAGCAGUUAUUUUUGUGAGCUCACGCCAGUGCUGAUGAGAUGAUCUGUUAUCAUGAGAGCAAAGGUAGAAGAAGAAUUACUAAAAGCGACGGGAUGAUCUACAAAAUGAAUGAGCCAGCUGGUCAAUAUCCACAUCAAUGAAAACAUUGGAAUGUUCCCUUACAGGUAAGGACUGUGUCUUAAAUGUUUUAUUUUUCCCUAGGGAGACUGGACACAUAACAAGUAAGGGGUUUCAUAAAUAAUUAUGGACACAUUAUAAAAAUUAUUUUGGCAGGAUUGUUAUUUAAAAAAAAAGGCC
rnacentral:lncRNA from 1 species